UAUAAAUACACACCACAGUUAUUUCUCUAUACUUCAUAUGUUCAAUGACUAUUAUGGUGUUUAAGUGCUGUGUAGUGGGGCUGUUCCUGGUUUUGCUGUUCUGGGAUGUUCAUUGCUAUCCCUAUCAACAAGCCUACAGGUUGGGCCAAGUCUACCCAAGAAUUUCAACUCUAUGGUCCACUUGUCAAACCCAGCCAAAUUAACGCCUACACACGUUACUUCCUUAAACAUGAACCCAUUUCUUCUGGUUCAAGCCUCCCUGUUCCUGUUGACUCUAGGAGUCCUAUUGAUGGGGGCUCCAAUCUUGGUAUUUAGAGUUUUGCUCCCUUGAAGACUACUGCUUCCCCUUACCUCGUUCCUCAGGCUCCUGAACAGACUGGAUGUCUUUCUGCAGGAGUAGCUUACCCUAGUUUUCUUCCUUUACCUCCACGGUGUGAGUCUUCACCAAGUACCUUCCAGGCAGGGGAAAUCUCUCACUUUGAGAGUGUUUAUGAACAUGGCAACAGAGUGAGUUUGAAGACCAAUGGUUCCCACUUCCUGAGGGUGCAGUUGAGGCAGGUUCUAUUCCAGCCCCACUCCCUGCUACAAUAGCCCCACCCCUAUCCCAAGUUAUUAGACCAGAACCUAGCCAGGAAGGUCUUGAGGCUCAUUAUGGGGAGCUGUUCAUCACUAGGAAGUUCCCUGCUGGCAUCAUCACCCAUUUAAGAACCACAUAUGACCAAUGGAGCUCAGCUAGUUUCGUCAGGUACCAUCCUGCUCCCGUCCAAUACCGACCACUAUCUCCUCAUGCCCGCCGGCAGUGACCAGUAGGAGAAGGUUCUGUGCUAACCUGGAUCCUGCUGUUUCAUGGCUGUGUUGCUUACUAAUAAACCUACUUGAGAAAUGUA
ensembl:lncRNA